rnacentral:lncRNA from 1 species
AAAGGAGAGAAACAGAGAGUAAACUAGACAUGACAAGACAGAAAACAGACUAUCAAAAUAAAACAGGAAACAGGAACAACAGACAGAAAACAUGACAUCAACUAAACACAGAAACUUGACACAACACAAGGGAGAACAGAACACAGGGAUUAACCAAAACAUACACAAUACAGAAUAACUAACAAAAACAGGGAACUUACAGAAAACAACAAGGAAGCAACAGAAAUAAACAAACAGGUAACAGGAAUGGAACACAAUACAAAACAAAACACCAAAACCAUGACAUUACCUACUGUAACACAUGUUAUGUAGUUAAUCAAUUGUGGGCUAAAACAUUCAAAAUCACAGGUGCAGUCCAUUACAUUUAAAAAAGAAAUGUGAUACAAUUUCUCCCCAGGAAAAAACAGAAGAGCUCUGGGAAUGAGAUUGAGACUCUGGAGAUGGCGACGACUGAAGCGGGUCCAUUGAUCGAUGCUGGUCAUGCAGUGGAAAAUGAAGUAGCCAAUGACCAAGAGGCAGCCAAAGGAGGAGCCGAGGCUGCUGACCAAUCAGCCACUGGCGUUGACGUGGAACCAAAAGAGUUGGAAUACUCUGACAUUGACUUCCACUUGUUGAAUAGGAAGAGUCCCACAGGGGCAAAUAAUACACAAGAGACCACAGAGACAGAGUAUGCUGAAAUUAAGAACAAAGAAAUGGAGGAGAGACAAGAUGGUGGAGAGGGCGGUGAAAUGUUGGAGGGCAAUGAGGAGGAGGUGAUGAUAGGGGAAGAUAAGGAGACACAAGAGUGUAUGUCUGCAGAGAAGGAGGGAGGAGGGGAUGUGAUAGUUUACUCCAAUGUGAAAGAAAUAAUGGGAGAGAUUUAAACAGUUAAAGAAUCGGACAGAUGUUAGGCAGAGGUGCAUUUAAAGGGGUCUAGGCAGAAACGAGGUUGGAUGGUGGAGGGGAUUGAUUUAUGUGGGUGAGUUCUCUUAUAUAUUCUGAUGUGACGGCUUCUCAUUUGAAUGUUUAUUGUAAAUGACAAUCCUGUGUGUGGUUUUUACCACAGCACUGCGCUUUAAGCCAGAGAUCAGUUGACGUCAGACAUACAGUAUCAACACGUCCACAUGUUAGGGUUUGUGCUAUUUCAUGUAUUCAACUACCAUUAUUCCAUUCUAACCACAGUAUCAGGUGACAACUAUUUUAUGUACAAAGUAUUUAAUCCACACACAUCGCAGCUUCACAUGGCCAAUUCCCUAUCAAGCCACUCAAAACUCAAAACAUAAGUCCAGUAAAAGAAUAGAAAGCUUUUGUGUGCAAACAAGCUUUGGCGUCUUACACAGCAUUUAUUAACACUGUAUCAGCUAGAAUUAACAGCUUUAUGUACUAGUUUAGCUUUUCAUUACUUGUAGACAAUAUGUUGUAAUUAUUAUUUAAGAAAUAAAUACAG